AACCACCGGGCCCCGGGUGCGAGUUUGGACGGGUUGUUUAAUUUCUGCUCCUGGUUAUGCCUUUCCCCCAGGAGAAGGAGAAGCUGUACGUGGAACUGAAGCACAUCUUGGCCCGGCAGCCCGGCCCGGAGGCUGCGGAACAGCUGCAGAUCUACCGGUACACGCUGCGGGAGAAGACCAAGCAGCUGAAAGUUCUGUCAUCAGAGUUGAAUAUGUAUGAAUCGCAGAGCCAGGAGUACAAGUAUGAGAUCGAGAGACUUAGCAACGAACUGGUGACUUUAAAGAAGAAAUACCUGGCCCAGAAACGCAAAGAACUCGUUCAGAAAAACAAGGACAGGAUAUCCAUAAACAACAUCUUCUCAGACCCCAAGCAGUCCGUCCCUCGAUUUACUGGGGGUGGAUUUCCCCUCAACCAGCCACACAAGGUGAAAUUGUAACUGGAAGCUACUCGAUGGCUCAAGCUGAACAGCUCGGCUGGAACCUUGCGGAGGAAUCGUCUUCAACCCCUCAGAUCAUAGAUGUAUAGAAAAGGCUGGUGCCCAGCUUUUCGGAGUUGGAAGGGAUGGGCAGCUAUCAGUGUCUUGUAUAUAAGAGUGAUGAUGUCGUACCUGAAGCACACGGACAUUAACAGACUGUGAUUGGAGCUCUUUAAUUAAGCUGGCCCUUGCCAUAGAGCUGAUCUUUCGUUACAGUCGCACUGACUGACUAGAAAAUGUGCUAGGUUUAGAAACUCAGGGUGGAUGAAGCUUUGGGCAUCAAUUUCUCUAUUAUAGAUAUUUGAGCACUUGAAGGUUUUUUUUUGUAUGCAAAAAUAUUUUAUAUGUAAAAAAAAUGCAAUUCAUGCCCUCACAUCUUAUUAGUGAAAAUCUAUUUUAAUUAUUCCUCAUCAACAAGCCGUAACACAAGAUGAGAAAAAAAAGGACACAUGACUGGGAUUUCAAAAAGUGUAUAUUGAGAGUGAUUUCCAUGUGGGACCUCGUUCCAGGCCUGGGGUAGGAAAAUCUGUUCUGAAGAAGAAAUGCCAAUAAAUACUUCAUCAUAAAAAAAAUUCUUUGUAAAGAUUUUGAUCUUUGCUUUGGUAGAGCAUGCCAUUAAAGUUUAAAAUGACUGUGAGAAAUGUUUAACAUAAGGAUGUGAGUCAAAGGAUCCAAGCCAGUGAAAUGAAAGGGCCAGC
rnacentral:lncRNA from 1 species